rnacentral:tRNA from 1 species
AGAGCUAUAGGUUAACUGUUAAACCAUUGGCCUUCAAAGCCGAAAAUGGAUCUCCUGGCUCUG